rnacentral:rRNA from 1 species
GGUGGGGUAACGGCUCACCUAGGCGACGAUCCCUAGCUGGUCUGAGAGGAUGACCAGCCACACUGGAACUGAGACACGGUCCAGACUCCUACGGGAGGCAGCAGUGGGGAAUAUUGCACAAUGGGCGCAAGCCUGAUGCAGCCAUGCCGCGUGUAUGAAGAAGGCCUUCGGGUUGUAAAGUACUUUCAGCGGGGAGGAAGGGAGUAAAGUUAAUACCUUUGCUCAUUGACGUUACCCGCAGAAGAAGCACCGGCUAACUCCGUGCCAGCAGCCGCGGUAAUACGGAGGGUGCAAGCGUUAAUCGGAAUUACUGGGCGUAAAGCGCACGCAGGCGGUUUGUUAAGUCAGAUGUGAAAUCCCCGGGCUCAACCUGGGAACUGCAUCUGAUACUGGCAAGCUUGAGUCUCGUAGAGGGGGGUAGAAUUCCAGGUGUAGCGGUGAAAUGCGUAGAGAUCUGGAGGAAUACCCGGUGGCGAAGGCGGCCCCCUGACGAAGACUACGCUC